CUGAGCGAAGAGGGUUGACGUCAAGAUGACCAGUCAGAACAAGAUACCUGUUUUCUCCCAAUCAAAUUUAAAAAAAAGGACCGUUGCGUUUGCUCAUCACUUCACCAGUUUGUACACAGGUUUGGACGUAUGUUGUGCUGUGCAAAGGGGGAAACGAGUCCUGGACAAUAACGACGUUGAGCGGCUGGGGGUAAAAGUCGGAGGAAUGCGAUGUCGACAGCCAGCUAGCAGCAGCAGCCAGACAUCGUGCGAAACAAUGCGGGCGCUGCUCACGAACCGCUUCCGGCGUCCAAACUCGUACGAGAGAGUUGUAUUAGUGACUUCAUCUCAACAUUCGACUUAUAAC